rnacentral:rRNA from 1 species
UACGGAGGUGGCAAGCGUUGCUCGGAAUCACUGGGCGUAAAGGGCGCGUAGGCGGGGAGGUAAGUCGGGUGUGAAAUCCCUCGGCCCUACUGAGGAACUGCGCCCGAGACUGCUUCUCUUGAGUCCCGGAGAGGAAGAUGGAAUUCCAGGUGUAGCGGUGAAAUGCGUAGAUAUCUGGAGGAACACCGGUGGCGAAGGCGGCUCUCUGGGCCUUACCUGACGCUGAGGAGCGAAAGCGUGGGUAGCGAACAGG